UUACGGUCACGAGCAAUGGCUGGAGGGCGUGGCUAUCGGUGUCCGUCUCCCUCGCCUCUCCAGAAACCUAUCAUCGAUCAGAAGAUUGCACCAAUAUGGUGGUAAGGUGCAUUUUAGGAUGCGCUCCUCCUCAAGUCCUCUUCUCUAUCCCCAAACAUCCCAGUCUGCGUGCCCGCUGGCUCCAAUUCUUGCACUUCGAAGAAGGAGGAAUAACGGCAAAUUCGCGUCUGUGUGCGAGGCAUUUUACGGAAGAAUGUUUCAAGAAUUUGAGACGAUAUGAAAUGGGUUUAGUCCGAAUCCUAUAUUUGACAGAAACGGCUGUCCCGUCUGUGUACACAGUUGGAACGUCAACAAAUGUGAAGCCACUUACACGAGAUGUUGGAAUCCAGUGCCCCGCCAAAACUGUGACCAGCAUUGGCGCGCAAGCGGCAUUCUCUACUCCAAAGCCGAAACGACGGAGUAAAGCGGUCCAGGUAAAACCUUUGUGCCCCUCUAUGACCUGCUCAACUGUGGAUCUUGGCGACAACUUCCAUCCUCUUUUUAAAAUGUCUACACCGAUCAAAAGGCCACGGAUGGGAAAUAGCGCAGAUGAGAUCAACGACACAUCGUCGGGUACCAUAAAGGAGUCAACAGCGUUGGAUUCCACAUACAAGCCUGAUAUCACUCAGGAGGACAGUCAGAAGUACAGCUGCGUUCACACUGCGGCCAGGGGCUGGCUAUGAGUUUGCUUGCCAGUGGGCGUUCUCACUACUGGUUGCCUUGACAGCGAAUCAGACUGUGGACACCCUGCUGAGAAUGCUGUUUGAAGACGUGAUUCCCAACCCUGGCCGAUACCAGGAACACAUGAGUGGAGUGGAGGUCCCUGAUGAUGUGUGUGCUGCCUUCGAAAGGCCCGACUUGCAGUAAGCUGCAGCAAGAUGUUGGUCCCGCUUUUCACAGCAUCCUUUGGUUGUUUCAAGUGAACAUUAAUGUGUCAGACAGAAUGUGAGAGUCUGUGAAAGAGGGAAAAUGUGUGUGUUUUGAUUGUACAAUGUGUGGGGGAAAAGCAUGCAGUUUUGUGUAAAUAGUUAAUAGCAAACAAGGCAAUAACUCAGAACUACACAGUUCUGAAACAAUAAAAUUAAAUGACAUUGAAAUAGUACAAAUCAAGUCUUGGCAUCAUUUAUUAAUAAAGAUUGAAACACUAUAUUACUAAGCAUGUAACCGAGGCAAUUGGAAUCCUUGGUAUUGUUUAGAAGGAAAUGUAUUUCUGAUUUUUUUUCUAUGAUACAUGAUGGGAUAACAACAUGGACACUUUUACCCAGGUAGCCCCAGCACCACCUCACAAAUGUCCUAAACUGUAGCAAAAAUGUCCAAAAUUGUAGGAAACUUAUCAACCAGGGCCCGGUUCCCCAAAACGUUCUUAUCGCUAAGUAGUUCUUAACCUAUUUCUUAACCUCUCUCUUAAUGUUAUGGCACGAUUCCCGACACGU